rnacentral:rRNA from 1 species
UAGACCCUACGGGGGGCAGCAGUGAGGAAUAUUGGUCAAUGGGCGGGAGCCUGAACCAGCCACGUCGCGUGAGGGAAGACGGUCCUACGGAUUGUAAACCUCUUUUGCCGGGGAGCAACGGGGUCCUUGCGAGGGCCCGAUGAGAGUACCCGGAGAAAAAGCAUCGGCUAACUACGUGCCAGCAGCCGCGGUAAUACGUAGGGGGCAAGCGUUAUCCGGAUUUACUGGGUGUAAAGGGGGCGCAGACGGCGAUGCAAGCCAGGAGUGAAAGCCCGGGGCCCAACCCCGGGACUGCUCUUGGAACU